CUCAGACCUUUUUCCUGCCGUCUGAAGGGCCGAGCUCUGGCAGGCUGACGUGGUCGAGCAGAGAAGCUCCUGGCCACCCGCCCGGCCCCAGGCGUGACUCUCAGGAUGCAGUAAAAGUUGGGCAAACGCCGAGAAACCCUCAAUCCCACAGAAAGGCUGCCGGGGGCUCAGCUCACGGGGAGGACAUCAAAACGCCAGGUUCGUGAUCAUGAGCUUCCGGUCCGGAUGUGAUGAUACAGGAUUGGUGAAUGCCCGGGUUAAACCCGUGGUCCUUCGCAGCCGCUGCCUCAGUGACCGUCAUUAGGCCCCCCGCAGUUAUUUGUCAAAAGCAUUGGCGCCGCUCUUCUCCCCAUCGAAAAAUCAGUCGGGAUGAGUUCGGAUUAAGGGACUAGAUGAGGAUGUGGACAUCUCAUUGAAACAUGGUGUAGGCCAGCCGAAGUGGGUUUGCUCCUUCAGCUGCGGGAGCCCCAGGGAACGUGUGAGCGGGUUUACGAUAAGGAACAUAUGGUUUGUGGGAAGAUAGGAAGGGAGAAGGAAAAUAGGAAAGGAAAAAGAAAAGAGGAAAAGAAGAGAGAGGUACUUUUUUUUAAAAGGCAGUGAGGGAGGGAGAGAACUAGUUCAUUUGGGUCUGAGAAAAUUAUUUUUAGGCAAACAAGGAAGACAAGAUUCCGCCGCCCGAUUCUCCAGGGCGGGAAGAAUAGGAUGUCUUGUAAAAAAUAAGUGAGUCCUGUCUAAUCUUCCAAAAAAUGUUCUGCUCAAUUCGGUAAAAGUUCAUGGUGGGGUGGGGGUGAUGUUUAGAAGAGAGAUUCUUCGGUAACUGCUCUUUGGUGUGUGUAUUCGGGGAGUGUGUGUAUUCGGGGUGUGUGUGUAUGUGUGUGUGAAAGAAUCUGGUGUGUGUGAAAGGGGUAAGGGUUGAAGGGCCUUAUUUAGCUGGGGGACCGUCUUGUAUAGGGAGCGGGCAGCCUAGGCCUUGGAAAGACCAGAAAAUCUGAUCUGUGCGGAGGCAGGUGAAGGCUGUGAGUGAGGUGGGGGCGGGAACAGAGCUGGAGGAAGUGAAUAAAAGAAACCUUGGGGUCCGUUGGUUUCCUUGACUCGUGGAGCAAAAAAGUAGGCGAGUGACCACUCCAGAAACUCCUGCCUCCGGGCGCCGGUACAUAAAGAUCUGGGGCUGUGUGUCCUGCUCUUGGGGGAGGAGGGUACUGGGAAGGGGGAACUAACAGGUCUUUCUUUCGCUCGGAUCAGGACUGGACUCCUUCUGACUCCACGCGGCCCCAGCUCCUGAACCAGCGCAGUGAGCCUCAGCCGCUUCUCAAACUGGGUCUCAGAAAAUUUCUCCUCGAGAUGGAUUUCAGCGGCAGGAAAGAGGGGCCAGUGACGCGAGGAGCAAGAAAAGAGUAACAUGGGAGAUGAAUGUUCAAACCCAGAUCUCCUCGCUGAGCCUGGAAGCUCGCCACCGUGGGAUCACGGGAACCAGAGGCAAGAGGCUGCGAAUGAGUCCAACACCCGCGUUCCUCGAGUUUUAAAAGCACACCUGGGGCCAGAGACUGCACAGCCAACUAAACGGAGUAAACGCAACAGGUGGAGGAGGCAGAGUUGUCAGGGGCCAAGCCCGGCGCGAUCUGGCCAGUUCUUGGGGAGCGCGGACCUGGGACUGCAGAGAGGCGUUUUGAAGAGUGCUGCGCGCACCUGCCUCUCGGAGAUAUCCAACUCCACCCGGGCGUCUCCUGAGAGCGCACAGUCCACAGACCCCGGGAGGGCUGCCCGCCCUAGGACACGUACUCUCCCGACCCCUCACUCUUUCAAAAUUGGGGAAGAGGCGGAGGAGAUGAAAAAGAAGAAAGAGAGAGAGAGAAGAAAAGAGAGAAAGAAGGAAGGAAAUUUUAAAAAAUAAUAAAAGGAGGGAAGAAUGGAGGUAAAACGCGGGGGAGAGAAGAGGGGAGAAACUCUCAUCACCACAACCAAAGCAGGAGGCCUAAGCUUUCUGAAUUUCUACACAUGACUUACAUUAAGUUCCUUCCUAGACCUUAAACUUUUUCAUCUCCCGUCACCCAAGAAAACACCCAUUUCCUCUUUUAAAUAAAGUUUCUUUUUCUGGAGAUGAACCUUUAAACAAGUCGUACGUUUGGGAGCGAGGGACAGGAGAAUAAUUUUGAUCCAGAACCUUGGAGAUUGGAGAAGCAGGUGGAAAAAUUCUAAAAAGAUGAAAACUGACCAUCUCCGACACAGAAACCCAUCGAAAGGGGCCACCGAGACCAGUUGAUUAGCUGGAGGGAGCAUGCGGCAGAAGUGCAGACCCCUCGCUAACCCGCCAACCUCCAAGAGCCCUCUUGCAGAAAGCUGCCCGGCUCCCCACGGUGGCCCUGCGCGCGCACCAUCCUCGCGGUCUCGCUUCUUCGCCCCGGAAAACUCUAUGAGGGGCACCCCAGCCUCAGCCGGGCCAAGAGUUAAGACAAGUAGCCCCAAGAGGAAGGAGCCUCAGAGAGCCUUUCUUCCUGUUCUUCUUCGUCUUCUUUUUUUUCUAAACGAAAUCUAAUACUAUCUGGCUGCAAAAAUAUAUUAUCACCGGCUCUCAGCCUAAGAGACUAACAUUUGGAUAUGUAGGAAAUGUAAUCUGCAUGGCUAAUUGAUUCUCAGCGUAUCAGUUUAAAGGAUAAAGAUCGAUAUCUACAUGAUGGAUAUUGUAUUAAUAGGGGCAUAAAUAAAGGCCGAA